AUUGAACGCUGGCGGCAUGCCUUACACAUGCAAGUCGAACGGCAGCAUGAUCUAGCUUGCUAGAUUGAUGGCGAGCGGCGAACGGGUGAGUAAUACAUCGGAACGUGCCCUGUAGUGGGGGAUAACUAGUCGAAAGAUUAGCUAAUACCGCAUACGACCUGAGGGUGAAAGUGGGGACCGCAAGGCCUCAUGCUAUAGGAGCGGCCGAUGUCUGAUUAGCUAGUUGGUGAGGUAAAGGCUCACCAAGGCGACGAUCAGUAGCUGGUCUGAGAGGACGAUCAGCCACACUGGGACUGAGACACGGCCCAGACUCCUACGGGAGGCAGCAGUGGGGAAUUUUGGACAAUGGGGGCAACCCUGAUCCAGCAAUGCCGCGUGUGUGAAGAAGGCCUUCGGGUUGUAAAGCACUUUUGUCCGGAAAGAAAUCGCACUUACUAAUAUUAGGUGUGGAUGACGGUACCGGAAGAAUAAGGACCGGCUAACUACGUGCCAGCCGCCGCAGUAACAC
rnacentral:rRNA from 1 species